AUUCUUUAGGUGCGUCAUUUGAGCUAGGUGUGGACCUUGACAUCUGCACCUCUUGAUACGGUGUCACCCAUGUUUUUCGUUUGCCCAGCAGUUCGAAGUGCGGCGUUGGUAGCAUCCUCCUCAGUGUGUUUGUGCUCGUAGAUCCAGAUCCUUCACUUGGUAGAGUCUGGGAGUUGGAAAACUCCUCUAUGUUUUGCUCGAAGUGUAUCCUGCUCAUAGAGACAAGGCAGAGAUCAAGUGCAUGGGCCCUGUUGGUGGAAAACACCAACAUAACCAAAAGUGUAUUUGUUCUUCUCUAACCUUAAGCAUAGUGAGCAAGACAAAGUUGAUGGAUGAUAAGAUCAUGAGUGUAGC
rnacentral:lncRNA from 1 species